CCUACGGGCGGCAGCAGUGGGGAAUAUUGGACAAUGGGCGAAAGCCUGAUCCAGCCAUGCCGCGUGUGUGAAGAAGGCCUUCGGGUUGUAAAGCACUUUCAGUGGGGAAGAAAGCCUUGGGGCUAAUACCCUCGAGGAAGGACAUCACCCACAGAAGAAGCACCGGCUAACCCCGUGCCAGCAGCCGCGGUAAUACGGAGGGUGCGAGCGUUAAUCGGAAUUACUGGGCGUAAAGCGCGCGUAGGCGGUCUGAUAAGCCGGUUGUGAAAGCCCCGGGCUCAACCUGGGAACGGCAUCCGGAACUGUCAGGCUAGAGUGCAGGAGAGGAAGGUAGAAUUCCCGGUGUAGCGGUGAAAUGCGUAGAGAUCGGGAGGAAUACCAGUGGCGAAGGCGGCCUUCUGGACUGACACUGACGCUGAGGUGCGAAAGCGUGGGUAGCAAACAGGAUUAGAUACCCGGGUAGUC
rnacentral:rRNA from 1 species